GGAGGCGCGGGCAUGACGAAGUCAUGCCAUCUGAAUCGCGCCGACCGACGCGCCGCCGAGCGAAUGUGAGGGGGCAUUACAUAU
rnacentral:sRNA from 1 species